rnacentral:snRNA from 1 species
AUCGCUUCUCGGCCUUUUGGCUAAGAUCAAGUGUAGUAUCUGUUCUUAUCAGUUUAAUAUCUGAUACGUCCCCUACCCGGGGACCAUAUAUUAAAUAGAUUUUUAGAACAGGGAGAUGGAAUAGGGGCUUGCUCCGUCCACUCCACGCAUCGACCUGGUGUUGCAGUAUCUCCAGGAACGGUGCACUCCCU